rnacentral:rRNA from 1 species
AAUAGCUCACUAGUCAAGCGACUCGGCGUCGAUAAUAAUCGGGCAUAAGCUCGGUGCCGAAGCUGUGGGAAUGAAAAUUCGGUAGGGGAGCAUUCCAGUUGCGCUGAAGGUGUUACCGUGAGGGAUGCUGGAGCGGCUGGAAGCGAAACUGUAGGCAUGAGUAACGAUAAUAAGGGUGAAAAACCCUUCCACCGUAAACCCAAGGGUUCCUGAUCAACGCUAAUCGGAUCAGGGUUAGUCGAGACCUAAGGUGUACCUGGUGAGGCCAGGGAAGCUGAUGGCAAAGCGGUUAAAUAUUCCGCUACCCGGGUGAACGUUAGGCUAAGGCGUGACGCAGAAGUGACACUCCCGCGCCCCGACGAAUGGGCGUUAAAGGGCGUAGGCUUGGAGGUAGGCAAAUCCGCCUCCUGUACGGCUGAACCCCGACAGUACCCGGAUUCUCGCGAUGAAGGGAUAGUGGAGGUAAUCAUGCUGCCAAGAAAAGCGUCGUAGUUUGUUCAACCGGCUCGUACCCCAAACCGACACAGGUGGGUGAGGAGAGUAUCCUAAGGUGCUCGAGUAAUUCAUGGCUAAGGAACUAGGCAAAUUGGAUCCGUAACUUCGGGAGAAGGAUCCCCCUCCUAUGGAGGGGCGCAGUGAAAAGGCCCAAGCGACUGUUUACCAAAAACACAUGUCUCUGCUAAGCCGCAAGGCGAUGUAUAGGGACUGACACCUGCCCGGUGCUGGAAGGUUAAGGAAGGGGGUUAGCUUCGGCGAAGCCCUUGACUGAAGCCCCAGUAAACGGCGGCCGUAACUAUAACGGUCCUAAGGUAGCGAAAUUCCUUGUCGGGUAAGUUCCGACCUGCACGAAUGGUGUAACGACUUGGGCACUGUCUCGGCCAUGAGCUCGGUGAAAUUGUGGUAUCGGUGAUGACGCCGAUUACCCGCAGCGGGACGAAAAGACCCCGUGAACCUUUACUACAACUUUACAUUGGCUUUAGCUGUAACAUGUGUAGGAUAGGCGGGAGACUGCGAACCAUGGUCGCCAGGCUGUGGGGAGUCACCCUUGAAAUACCGCCCUUGUUACAGGUGAAGUCUAACCCUUACGAGGGAACAGUGUAUGGUGGGUAGUUUGACUGGGGCGGUCGCCUCCUAAAGAGUAACGGAGGCUCCCAAAGGUACCCUCAGCACGGUCGGCAAUCGUGCGUAGAGUGUAAAAGCAUAAGGGUGCUUGACUGCGAGACAUACAGGUCGAGCAGGCACGAAAGUGGGGUUUAGUGAUCCGGUGGCACCGCAUGGAAGGGCCAUCGCUCAAAGGAUAAAAGGUACUCCGGGGAUAA